rnacentral:rRNA from 1 species
UGGUGGCGAGUGGCGAACGGGUGAGUAAUGUAUCGGAACGUGCCUAGUAGCGGGGGAUAACUACGCGAAAGCGUAGCUAAUACCGCAUACGCCCUACGGGGGAAAGCAGGGGAUCGCAAGACCUUGCACUAUUAGAGCGGCCGAUAUCGGAUUAGCUAGUUGGUGGGGUAAUGGCUCACCAAGGCGACGAUCCGUAGCUGGUUUGAGAGGACGACCAGCCACACUGGGACUGAGACACGGUCCCAGACUCCUUACGGGAGGCAGCCAGUGGGGAAUUUUGGACAAUGGGGGAAACCCUGGAUUCCAGCCAUCCCGGCGUGUGCGAUGAAGGCCUUUCGGGUUGUAAAGCACUUUUGGCAGGAAAGAAACGUUCAUGGGCUAAUACCCCGUGAAACUGACGGUACCUGCAGAAUAAGCACCGGCUUAACUACGUGCCAGCAGCCGCGGUAAUACGUAGGGUGCAAGCGUUAAUCGGAAUUACUGGGCGUAAAGCGUGCGCAGGCGGUUCGGAAAGAAAGAUGUGAAAUCCCAGAGCUUAACUUUGGAACUGCAUUUUUAACUACCGAGCUAGAGUGUGUCAGAGGGAGGUGGAAUUCCGCGUGUAGCAGUGAAAUGCGUAGAUAUGCGGAGGAACACCGAUGGCGAAGGCAGCCUCCUGGGAUAACACUGACGCUCAUGCACGAAAGCGUGGGGAGCAAACAGGAUUAGAUACCCUGGUAGUCCACGCCCUAAACGAUGUCAACUAGCUGUUGGGGCCUUCGGGCCUUAAUAGCGCAGCUAACGCGUGAAAUUGACCGCCUGGGGAGUACGGUCGCCAGAUUAAACCUCAAAGGAAUUGACGGGGACCCGCACCAGCGGUGGAUGAUGUGGAUUAAUUCGAUGCAACGCGAAAAACCUUACCUACCCUUGACAUGUCUGGAAUUCCGAAGAAAUUUGGAAAUGCUCGCAAGAAAACUGGAACACAGGUGCUGCAUGGCUGUCGUCAGCUCGUGUCGUGAGAUGUUGGGUUAAGUCCCGCAACGAGCGCAACCCUUGUCAUUAGUUGCUACGAAAGGGCACUCUAAUGAGACUGCCGGUGACAAACCGGAGGAAGGUGGGGAUGACGUCAAGUCCUCAUGGCCCUUAUGGGUAGGGCUUCACACGUCAUACAAUGGUCGGGACAGAGGGUCGCCAACCCGCGAGGGGGAGCCAAUCCCAGAAACCCGAUCGUAGUCCGGAUCGCAGUCUGCAACUCGACUGCGUGAAGUCGGAAUCGCUAGUAAUCGCGGAUCAGCAUGUCGCGGUGAAUACGUUCCCGGGUCCUUGUACACACCGCCCGUCACACCAUGGGAGUGGUGUUUUACCAGAAGUAGUUAGCCUAACCGCAAGGGGGGCGAUUACCACGG